UCUUCUCUAGGUUCAUAGAGUAUUGUUUAUUUACACUUUUACGUUGAGUUGACUUUGUGACGAAACCUAAUAAAGUAAUUUAAAAGUCGAAACUAAAAAGGAAACUGGCACCCUACAGGGCCGCCUCUGUAAGGCAGCUUGAGAUUCUGUUAGAAGUUGCUGAAAGCAACUCAAAUAUUGCACUCGGUGGAGGACCUCUCGGCCGCCAGGUAGCUCUUAAUAAUGGGAAGAGCUUUCCAGAAAGCUCAAUUCUGUGGGGGCAGGGUAUAUUAAACCUUCGUGGAGUGGAAGCGAUAUUGGAUACUGCUUAAGAGCCCCACAAAAGGCAAGGCUGGAGACUUGCGACGAGCAGCCACUGGCACUGGAGGUGAACCAAAUUUCAACACUUCUUUGACCCCUAUCGAAGAACAAUAUAAGUAUAAUUGGGAACGUGGCAGUAGAGGGAGAACCCAAAAUCCAGAUUCCUAUAAAUGAAUCAUAGAUUCCUGACCUGCCUACUCAACCAAGUACAUCUACUGUACAUCACCAAUAUGAGAAAUCAUUAUUGAUGAGCAGCUUAGUGACAACUAUACAACAAACAGAGGAGCCUUCACAAAUAGAAGCUACACAUAACCGCUACAUAUUUCACUAGCAUUAGAAGUUUCUCAGUCUGUCUAUCAUGUUGAUACUGAGAUACCAGAAGUUAGCACACCAACCAGCACACAACACCGUCAGCCUUUAAGAAGUAAUAAACUUAUCCAAAUAUAUUUGAAACCUUUUCAUAGCCAUUGCUCACCUAACAACUAACAUUUUUUUUAAAUUCCAUUAAUAAAAAGAUAUUAAGAUAAGCCUUUAUUAACUGAAUUGAAUUACAUUAAUGCUAUGUACAUAAUAUAUUUAAAUAAAUAAUAUUUUAGUUUU